CAGUAGCCGCGGUAAUACGUAGGGUGCGAGCGUUAAUCGGAAUUACUGGGCGUAAAGCGAGUGCAGACGGUUACUUAAGCCAGAUGUGAAAUCCCCAAGCUUAACUUGGGACGUGCAUUUGAAACUGGGUGACUAGAGUGCGUCAGAGGGAGGUAGAAUUCCACAUGUAGCGGUGGAAUGCGUAGAGAUGUGGAGGAAUACCGAUGGCGAAGGCAGCCUCCUGGGAUAACACUGACGUUGAGGCUCGAAAGCGUGGGGAGCAAACAGGAUUAGAUACCCCCGUAGUCCCUGUCUCUUAUAC
rnacentral:rRNA from 1 species